AAUCUGACAUUGAAGUACGUAAUGAUAAAUUAGUUUGUAUCACAUACAAAUCUUUAGCAACAUUUGCCGGUUUCACGGUUGCAAGAUACUCCUUACAAUUUCUCUUCCAGUGACCCUCUUUGCCAUAGUGAUAGUAAGUACCUUUGGUGGAGACCUUCUUUGCCUUCUUCUUGGAGAUGACAGUCUUAGAGUGUAUCUUUUUCUUAGAAUUUUUCUUUGUCUUCUUCUUGCCGAUCUUAUCAACAAGAAGUACCGAAGCCUUUUCAUCUUUGAAAUAGCUCUCUGCUGUUUUCAGCAUGUUCAGUAGUUCUGGCAGGCUGAUGUUUAGUUUGUUCAUAUGAUAAUUUAUGACAAACUGAGAAAACA
rnacentral:lncRNA from 1 species